UGAAAUAUUGGUUCCCAUAUGAUCACAGAUGUUAAGCAACAUUAAGCUAAAUCAGUACUUAGAGGGGUGACUACUUGAGAAUACCAGGUGCUGUAAG